ACUGCAACCUCUGCCCGCCGGAUUCCAGCAAUUCUCCUGCCUCAGCCUCUGAGUGGCUGGGAUUACAGUGCCGCGUAUGAUGCUGUCCUUGACAGAAAUGUGGCCAUUAAGAAGCUCAGCAGACCCUUUCAGAACCAAACACAUGCCAAGAGAGCGUACCGGGAGCUGGUCCUCAUGAAGUGUGUGAACCAUAAAAACAUUAUUAGUUUAUUAAAUGUCUUCACACCCCAGAAAACGCUGGAGGAGUUCCAAGAUGUUGUCAUUGACUUUGUGCAAAGUCUACCCAGUAGUGACAACAGAUGGAGGAGAGGAAGUGAUUCCCUAGCACCUUGUCUUUAAUACAGAUACAUUGAAUUUAAUGGAAGAAGCUGUCCUUAAUUUUUUUCUUAUUUGAAAUUAUAAUACAAAAGAUUUGAGGGAAUGCAGAGGAAAGUGAAAGCAAAAUUAAGUUACUUAGUAAUGGAACUGAUGGAUGCCAACUUAUGUCAAGUGAUUCAGAUGGAAUUAGACCACGAGCGAAUGUCUUACCUGCUGUACCAAAUGUUGUGUGGCAUUAAGCACCUCCAUUCUGCUGGAAUUAUUCACAGGGAUUUAAAACCAAGUAACAUUGUAGUCAAGUCUGAUUGCACAUUGAAAAUCCUGGACUUUGGACUGGCCAGGACAGCAGGCACAAGCUUCAUGAUGACUCCAUAUGUGGUGACACGUUAUUACAGAGCCCCUGAGGUCAUCCUGGGGAUGGGCUACAAGGAGAACGGAGAGUAAAGAUAGAAGCAAAAAGUUGGGACUUCCUACCAACAACUAAGCAGUCAGAUAACCUCUCAAACUAUGACUAUCAGACACAAGGCUGAGGGCUGAUUCAAGUUAUUUAUCGGCAGAAGAAUUACACAAUUUUAAGCAUAUUGAAAUUACUCUAACAUUUAUUGGAAGAAAUAUCAAAGCUAAGUAUGUGCUAAUUGAUACCUUGACUACUUCCAAGACUCUGCAGAAAUUUCAAAAAACAAUCAGAGGUUCUCAUGUCUUUCACCUAGAAUUAUUCAGAGUAAUUUAUAUUAAAUUACUUUGAGGCUGAAAAG
rnacentral:sRNA from 1 species